rnacentral:rRNA from 1 species
UACGGGGGGGGCAAGCGUUGUUCGGAAUUACUGGGCGUAAAGGGCGCGUAGGCGGCCUACUAAGUCGGACGUGAAAUCCCUCGGCUCAACCGAGGAACUGCGUCCGAUACUGGCAGGCUUGAAUCCGGGAGAGGGAUGUGGAAUUCCAGGUGUAGCGGUGAAAUGCGUAGAUAUCUGGAGGAACACCGGUGGCGAAGGCGGCAUCCUGGACCGGUAUUGACGCUGAGGAGCGAAAGCCAGGGGAGCAAACGGG